rnacentral:rRNA from 1 species
UACGUAGGGCGCAAGCGUUGUCCGGAAUUAUUGGGCGUAAAGAGCUCGUAGGCGGCUUGUCACGUCGGAUGUGAAAGCCCGGGGCUUAACUCCGGGUCUGCAUUCGAUACGGGCUGGCUAGAGUGUGGUAGGGGAGAUCGGAAUUCCUGGUGUAGCGGUGAAAUGCGCAGAUAUCAGGAGGAACACCGGUGGCGAAGGCGGAUCUCUGGGCCGAAACUGACGCUGAGGAGCGAAAGCGUGGGGAGCGAACAGG